rnacentral:lncRNA from 1 species
UAAAUGUUUCAUGAUAAUGGGUUAGGUAAAUGUUUCAUGAUAAGAAUUUCAUGUCUUUUGUAUUAAAGAAUUAAAUGUAUGAAAUAUGAAGUUUUAUUAAAAGAAAAAGGGGUGAAAAGAACAAAGUUUUGUCCAUCUUUGUUCAUCAUAGCUGAAAGUUAGAGAAGAGAAAUGAGAGGAGAAAGCUCUUGAGUAUUCGGUCAUUAGGAGGAGGAAAAUUGAAGGUAAGUUCUUGGUACCUUGCUUCUAUUUUGAGGUUCAUGAGUUCUUCUUGAUUCUACCUUAACUCUUGAAGUAUAUUUUGAUUUUUAGUUGUGUUGUGAGCAUUUGGUCAUGAAUUAAAAUGAAGGAAAUGGUUGUUGUUUCAUGUUCUUUUGAUGAAAAAUGGAAGAUAUGUGAAGUUGAGCCAAACAAAUGAGCAUGCAUGUGCCUUAGAUGCUAAAGGGAAAAAUCAGCUAACAUGUUGUGCUUUAAAAUGAUGAAAUGGAGAUUAUGCUUAAGUAAAAAUCAUAGAUAUGUGAUGAUUGAUUGGUGAUAUACAUGUUUAAAUAACAUGCAUGCAAGAUAGGUGUAUGAAAGAGUGAUUUGGUAAUAAAUCUGAUUGGGACAGCAGCAGUAACGUGACUUUGGAAAAUCACCAUAAAUUGUGGGAGAUGAAUUAGAAGCUGAAUAAAUUAUGUAAUUAAAGCUUAAUGAGUCUAGUUUCAAAUGGAAUAAACUAGAACAUAUUUUGAAUUCUGUAGAAUGAGAAAUUUUAUUCAUAAUGAAGAGUGGUCAGAUUAGUCAAACAGUGAAACAUGGGAAACUUUUAGAAAAAUCUGGUAUUGAUUGGCUAAACCAAAAAUUCUUAAAAUUUUAUGGAUAUAAGAUAUAUGAGUCUAUUUUCAGGUAAAAUUAACGGCACUUGAUUUGGAGUUUCGUAGCUCCAGUUAUAAAUGAUUUAGUGACUGUUGCUCAGGAAGACAGCUUGCAGUGAAAUUAUGAUUAUGUGGUAAACAUUGACAAAAAUUUGUUAAUGAGUUGCUUAUUGAUUUCUUAUAAGCUUACUAUGAUCUGUAGGUGUGGUUGGCCGAAUAUUGUAAGGGGUUAAUACGUAGUUUGUAUUUGAAUAGUUAGAUUAACGUGUUAGUAAUCCAAUUGUAGGCGGUUCGUGUGUGGAUCUCGUCAGCAUAUCGUCGCAAACAGGUGUGUAACUAACACCCUCUUUCUUAGUCUGGAUCGGCAAAAGUCGAAAAGCCGAAAUGCCGAAAACCGGUAUUUUGUAGAUUUGCGAGUGUGCGAAUGCUCGUGAGGUAAAUCGAUUAAUGUUUUUGGUAAACUGCAAAAUUUGGACUGCAAAGUGCAUGAUUUCUGUGCCCUUGAUAUUUUUGGGCUUAAUGGGCCAAAAUUGGAAUGAUGGGCCAACGGGCCCAAUUCGGUAAGAACCCUCGGUACGUGAUUCUGUUAGUACAUGAAAAGUAGGACUAUGCAUGAAAAACCCUAAAAUAGAUAAAUUACUGAAAUACCUUUAAAAGUAGAAAAUUUACAGUUUUACCCCUAGUAGAUAAAUUACCGAAAUACCCUAGGGUUAAAUUGACCUAAAUGCAUGUUUGAUUGUUGUUAUUUACUGCAUGCCAUGUUGUUAUUAUCCGAUGCAUGGGACUGGGAUAUUGACGGAGGAAGUACUGAAAGUGGCUUGUCCACGUACUGGAGGCUUUGCCUCAAUUUACUGUUAAUUGAGCAGCAAGGCUGCAACUGUGGAGUGUUGGGCUGGGUGGGUUGAGCUAUUCCCCACAUGGAGUGUAUGGCUGGUACGGGUGGAGUGUAGUGGUUGGUGGGUUGAGUAGUCUCCCCAAAUGGGCUUGCAUAUGUUUACUGAUGUUGCAUGUAUUUUGAAAUGGGCCUAUGGGCCAUACUGUUAUCUGAAUAAGAGGCUAAGGCCCAGUUUAUUGUAAUCUGAAAAGGGCUCUGGCCCAGUACCACUGUUACCCAAAUGGGCUUGCAUAUGUUUACUGAUGUUGCAUGUAUUUUGAAAUGGGCCUAUGGGCCAUACUGUUAUCUGAAUAAGGGGCUAAGGCCCAGUUUAUUGUAAUCUGAAAAGGGCUCUGGCCCAAUACCACUGUUACCUGAAUGGGCUUAGGCCCAAUGGGCUUGAGCUGACUUGGGCUUUGAAUGGGUUUUCCUUACACACUGAGUUUCCCCAAACUCACCCCUUUUAUUUUCAUCCACGCAGGAAAUCCCCAACCAUAGUGGGCUUGGAGCUGUGAGAGAAUUCGGAGUGGCCACCCGUUCUGAAAGUUUAAUUUUCUUCUAGUGAACUGGACAUCCUUUUAAUUACGUUUGAGGUUUUGGGCUUUUAAAUGUAAUAAGGCCGCUUAUUUAUUUUUGAUGGUUUUUAUAUGUUUUAUUAAGAUAUGUAAUAUUUAUAUUUAACUGUUGAAAUUGGAUAGCUUUAACGCGCGUUUUCAAAAACAGUAAUUGUUUUCAAAAUAACACGAAAAUAAGCAAAGCUUCCGC